AAACUGUUAAAAGUGGACAUUUCAGAAUUGUGGGAACUUUAUUCUUCCAUCUUUACUUCUGAAGCUGUUUGUGAAGUGCUUGCAUUUUGACAGAACUAUAUAGUUCAAGAAAAUGAGCUUUCACUAAACUGCCUCCAACUUCAAUAUAUGCCCUGUGUCAAACUCAGAGAAAGCUUGGAUGUAGUUCCAGCCUCUGUGGCUGGGGCUGAGUGCCAAUUAUGCUGCUCCCAAUGGCCUAUAACUGUCUUUUUUGCUUCUGUGAAUAUCACAUUUCUAGUUAAAAUCUUCAGGAUAGCUUGCAAACUAUUUGCUACUAUUGCUCCAGAGUUGAAAGUAACCUUGAAAACACUUCUCCAUGGUAGCAAUCGAGGUGAUUCUUCCAUCCUUUCUCAAAAAUGGCGGUAUAUCAUUCCUAUCUUUCCUGCUCAAACUCUCCUCAGCAGGUUUCUGAAGACCUUUUUAAGGUAGGUGUUAUCCUUUUUUUUUUCCUUUAUAUUUGAAUAUUUCAUCUCAAACUUCACAGGGAGACGACUAUCUCCCAACUGCACGAGUCCAGCCAGGAGUGUUUUGUAUGUAUGUUCUAAAGCAUUUGAUGCAGUCUGUACUGUGAUUAUAUAUAAAGAAAUUCAUUUUUAAAUCACCCCUUUAUUGGAAUGAGUGGGCCUUUUAGAGGACAAAAACCAUAAAGAUCAUACACAAACCUAGAGAGAUCUGAGAUGAGAAAUUCAAGUAAUUUUAAGAGUAUUUGAAGUAUGAACAGGGAAAUAUAAACAUUGAAAGCAUCAGUUUUAUUAUUAGAAUUAAAAAUUAAUUCUCAGAAUGAUUUCUGGGAUAAUUUAAAAGUGCUAAUGAAAGUAUUGGGCCAAAUUCUGAUCUCACAACUUUGUAAAAACUUCUCAAUGGGAGUUCAUUGAAAGGGAGAGGGCAUCAGCCUUGUUAUGUUCAGGCACAGUACAAAUAUAUUUCAUAUUUAAAUAAAAGACAGCUUCUGUGACACACAUAUUACAGAGCUAUAUUUCAAGGCAAUGCUGGCUCAUGGCCAGCAUAUUGCAACAGGCUGGUAAAAGAAAGCAAUGAAAUGAUUAGAUGCUGUGGCCUUGCAUUUGUUUUUCUGUUUAUGUAAUACUAAACCCUUACUAAUGUCAUCAUCAAUGUUAUUGUUCUAGUGUUGCAAAUUCUUGUAGUUUUCUCAUGACGUUCCUUAAAGCCUCAGCUGCUGGAAUCAGGUGAUCAUCAUGAGAAUUUCAAAUUUCUUGGUUUUUAAAUGUAACCCCCUAGUUGUAGAAACAAGUUCAAAACCAUGUUUUGAGUACAACUCAAACCAUCUUAUUAUAUGACUGUAUCAGAUGAGUCAAAAUAUGCAAUUUACAAAAAACAGUCUGUAUGUGAAACACAGAAACUGCCCUAAAAAUCCCAGCAUUUAAUUUAAACUAACUCCCUUGUUCCCAGUGCCAAUAAUUAAAAUAAGCCUGGCAUUCCUUGUUACCCUGUGAAAUUACCUGCAAGGCCUUUUCAUAUUGUUUCUAUGCUGUUGUUUUCAUGCUCAGUAGAGCAUUAAGAGUCAAUGAUGGGCAGCUCUUGUGUUACUCUAUGAAUCGUGGGGCAUUUUCCCUUGGACGCUAUUGAAAAUCCUCAAGGUGUUUAUUGACAAAUGCUUCCUACGGGCCGUCAUAAUAGAGAAUUCUCCUUUCUGCCUGCUCCCCAGUUCCUGCAAGGCCCAUCUGCUCCACAUCUAGGCAUGCUGUUUCAAAAAAUACAAAUACAUUUUUUUUCAGUACCCUCUGUAAUAUGCCUUCAACAGAAGUUAUGGAUCAAGUGUGCUUCCAGACCAAAGGUACUCAGUCCUCCAGCUUUGAACAGUGCACUGCCAUUUCCCCUCCAUUUGUUUCUAUGGUGCUGACUAUGUGUGCGGUCAUCCAUAAGGGUGCUGAGAUACCCUGGAGAGAGAAGGAAUAGCUGUAGCUAUUUUUCAUUAUUAUAUACUUCACUUCGUAAUAAAUGAGAUCCAUAGCAUGUGAACACUGGUCUUGUAGAUCAUCAUAUCAGCAAGCACAAGGAACCUUAUGUGCCACAAAGCUAAAUAAAAUAAACUAAGCCAGCCAGGCAAAAAUAGUCUGGUGAGACAUCAGUGUUCAGGAGUGUACAGUGUGUCUUCUCAGACUGAGAUCGGCCUCAGGACUUACAGUAAAUUGAGAACAAUUAGUUUUAAAGCUAAAGCCAUCAUCUGUAUAUCUGUCUCAUCACUAUCUCUAUUUAUAUACACAGGUAGCAGAAAUGUAUAAACUUGAAUUUCCAUUGUCUUGACGAUGUCUUUGGGAUAACAAAGACCAGCAAACAACUUCUGAUCUGAAAAGAAGCAGCAUCAGCAAUGGGACUCUUGUUCAACGCUCGUGAUGACGGACAAACCUCAACACGCUAUUCCAGGUGUGGCCUGACAAGCGCUGAGCAUUUGGUCCAGGAACUGGCCUUCCUGUAGCAAAGAGCAUCAGGAUGGGUAUGGUCUUCCCUCCCAGGACGUCUUCCAGCUCUAUGGAUGCUAUCAGCUGACACGUCUGGCUGGUAUCCUCUGCCAAAAAUACACACGCUCUCAACAUUUCUCAGGAGUUGGGUUUUUUUCCCCCUCUGUGACAUACUCAUGUCAAAUUUCUUCCUGGCUCUGUGAGACACAAGACUGUCCACACCUACCAGAUAAUGAGUUUAACAUUUCAAGGACAGAAGCUCUCAUUCUAAGCAAGACACAGGGUGGAUUUGCAGGCCUGAUUUGGGGUCAAGCCAGAGUUGGAAGCCGUUCUGCUCCCUGGAUCCUCCUCAGGGGUGUCCUGUCCUGGCCCUCCAUUGGUACAGUUAUCAGGUUGAACACCCUCCUGAGAAGAGCACAAUUCCUGUAACGAAGGAGGAUGAGCGCUGAGACACACACCCCAGCUCUGCAGCAGCAGAUGUUGGGUUUCAUCAUGGCCCAGUCUGACAGGCAGCUGAGAGCAACCUGCAAAAAAAACCCAAACCAAAACACAGCAAAAACCAAAGAUCCCCAAAUCCAGGGGCUCAACGAUCCAUACAUCCAGAUUUCGGAGUGACUGGUCCUCCUCCUGCUUCACUUGUGCCCUGAGAUCAUCUCAAAGCUGGACGUACACUAGGAUGAUCUAAAUGAGGAGAAGGAAGCAGGAUUACCAGGAAAGAAGGUUACUUGCUGCUUUAAGAGGACACGUGAGAGGACAUCCAAACUCCCCAAGGCUGUUUCUGGGGGGCUGGUGCAGGACCCAGGAUGCGGCUGCUCGUGGCAGUCAGGAGAUGGGAAUGAGAGCCAGCCUGACCAUGAAUUAGCUACAUCUCACUAACACUUCGGGGAGCUUCCCUUAGGCAAACAACCCUGGCUUAUUCAGUGGCAGAAGGAUGAAGGAUUAUCUUUGAUCUCGUCUUAUCCCCUGGAUCCCGUGGGCUGGCAUUUGUUCCAUGUCUGCAAACACACGAAAAGGAUGGAAAUCAUAAAGGAAGAGUUCAGAGAACUCCUCAAAGAGGUGCCAUGAAACUGAUGCCUUGGAGGUCCUGAGCAGUAUUCUCUGUGCCUCAGUUCCCUGUCUGUAAGAUGAGGGCACUCACAGGAGUGGUUUGAGGAGGAAAGUGUUCAUUGUGAUGAUGUCUGGAGAAACAACAAUGUUCUAUCAUCUGCAGACAUGCUACAUUGAUGUAGCAGCUCUGCUAGUGUGUGUCAGUGGUGUUUUAGUGGAAGACACAGUACAGGGGUCUUCAUCUUGCAGUCUUUCAGGAGCUUCUGGGCACAUUACUCUAGAUUUAGACCUCAAUUUAUCCCAAGAAGUAGAUGCCAAGGAAAUUCUUCCUGGUAGCUACUGAUAUUUGUGGCUUACUAGAGCCAAGGAGAAGUGAAGUGAGCUCUGCUAUUCCGUUUCUACCCAGUGAGGCUUUUCUUUUUCAUCGUGUUUGAGUUACAUUCCUUUCUGUGGCUAUACCAUGACACGUGCCAUUCUUCAAAGUCAGAGUCAUUCCCACCUGACUGCAUGCAAACCAAACCUAUGACAUCGUUCAGCGGUUCAAAGAGCUACAGCACCACCUCAUCAUCCAUCUUGGACACAACUCCUUCAAGCAGAGUUGCCGACCUGUCUCAGCCAAAGGCUUUGCAGCUUUUAGCUGCUGAAUACUCAGAGAGAAAUGAACCAGACUUUUUAGCUGGACAACCUCAGAACUGGAAAUUACAGCAGGGCUCUGCUUCUUCCAGCAUGUCUUUAUUGGCCUGAAGUCAGCCCCUUUCUUCUGGAAAUGAAGAUUCUCCCAGCACCUCUGUGGACCAGCAUUAUUAGCAAGUAUGUACUCUGGACCGCAUUCUUGUCUGAAUAUAAAAUUCCUGAGAACUUUCCUGCAUCUUAGCAAAAAAUGAAGUGGAGAUAUUUAUCAAUAUUUAUUUAUCCAAUUAGCCACCCUCAACAGCCUGUGCCUGGAGCCUUGUCCGCUUUGAUAUGUGCAAAAAACGUUCAAACUUAUUCAUCUUUUGCUUGAACUCUGGCAAGGUUUACAAAGUAGACACAAGCUCGACAAUGAACCUUACUCUGCAGCAAGCUUUCUCCCCAGAACAUCCCCAGUCCCGCAGAAGUUCAGACCUGGGUCUAAGCUGUCCAUCCCUGACACAUGCACCCAUCUUACAGAAGGAUCCUUAGGCAUCCUGUGGGCUCUGCUCUGCCUUAAGCCUCACAUUAACAUCAUCGAGGAGAAAUACAAAUUCAAACUGACACAGACUUGCUUGUCUCUUCCUUUGUGUUUAAACACAGAUGGUUGCUUUUGUUGUGCCGCCGCAUUUCAACCGAUGCAAGCAGCAAAGUACUUCACUGGAAUAUAUAUCUCUCCUUCAAACAUUCAGGGUUUUUUUGUAGGUGAAGUAUCAUUCUCAAGAAUAUAUACAGUGUUUUCAUGCAUCUUGAUCUAAUCCAUUAGUCCUUAUAAUUUAUUGUUAAC